UAUGCCAAUUACGUGACCUGUAUCACAUUUGGAAUGUUGUCAUAUUUGGAAUAAUUGUGGAAUAUUGGUGUGCAUGGAAUUGUUGCAUGUGA